rnacentral:tRNA from 1 species
GCGGGUGUAGUUCAUCGGUAGAAUCCGAGCUUCCCAAGCUCGUUAGGUGGGUUCGACUCCCAUCACCCGCUCCA